GCCAGCAAGUCAAAAUAUAAAUUUCAAUUAAAAGGCUAAAAAGCCCGAAAUAUAUAGUUUUUGAGUGGCAUCCAGUAUUUUCGAGUGGCAUCCAGCAUUCUAAGUGGUGUUUGGCAACCGGUGUAGCUGUCAGCUAUAAAAGCUAGCCAGCGAAAUAAGAUUUAAAGUAUUUCUAAAAUUCCGAGUGGAAACCCCAGUCAGUGCUGCCAAAAGUUGCCGCCAAAGGCGCAUCUUAUUGAUUCGGCCAAUUUGCUGGAGGAUUUACCGCCUCACAAAGGCCAAAAUCAAAUCGCGGGGCACAAUCGUCAGGUUGGCCCGCGAGGAAUGAUUUGGAGAAAUUAGUGCCCUGAAGUACCCCUAUCUACUAUCUACCUAUCUACGGGUUAUGUAGUGCCGGCCAAGAAGAGCAGCUUAUAUAAAGAGGACCUGCCCCGAUGCCCAUCAUGCCACGCAUCCGUACACCAGCCGAGUUUUAAGGGGUGCGCGUAUCCGUCUGGGAGGUUCCGAGUGGAAUAUCGCUGCCGCAGAUUUAGGGACUUAUACCCGUUUAUUUUGUAAAAGCGCCGCGUGUGUGAACGGCCUUAACCUAGCAUGGCACACUAGCCAACCGGGCUUAACCUUAAUGAAGAUAAAACUCUCUUUCGUAAUGGAUCAGUCCUAACCCUGUUUUAUAACCAACACGCUUUGAGAAACCGAAUUUAAGAAUUAAUGUGAAAAGAAAAUCAAUGAAAUCCAAAGAUAUGUAAACCAUACAUUUUCGUAAAGCCUCAAGUGGCAACGCCAUGUUAAGCGAUAUUUACAUUCAGCAAAUUAUAAAGAAAUAACAAGUCGAUCGUGUUAAAAGAAAUAAUGCACGCCGAGAAGCAGUAAUUUAAUUUAAUAAGAGCUAACUUUUCUUUAGGUUUAAAUGAGAAAUUUUUUAUUGUAAAGCAUUCAAGGAAGUACGAUGAAUUCGGAACGGGUUACACAGUUUUUCUUUUAAAUCGUUCGCGCAUCUAAGAGAAAUCAGAAAAGUUUAUUUUUUCCUUUAAUUUCUACAUAGCGAGAAAUAUCGCUACAAUUUAAAUUUACAGCCAACCCAUCCCGUCCGGAGAUCGAUCUUCAACGUUGGAGGAAAUGCCUUUACUAUUCUCUCUUGUCGCUAGCACGCUUAUUUCUGAUCUUAGUGAUAAUAAUGUGUAGUCAGUACGCGAAUCUGUAGGCGCAAGACCUCCACCCCCAAAGCCGACGAGCGAGUGCCGGACCCCAAUAGCGUGCCCCGCAACUGCAGAUUCCCGAUUUCAUGCAACCGUUACACGCUACAAGUGUAACCGAAGUA